GACAGAGGGUGCAAACGUUGCUCGGAAUCACUGGGCGUAAAGGGCGUGUAGGCGGGAAGGAAAGUCGGGCGUGAAAUCCCUGGGCUCAACCCAGGAACUGCACUCGAAACUUCUUUUCUUGAGUGCCGGAGAGGAAAGCGGAAUACCUGGUGUAGAGGUGAAAUUCGUAGAUAUCAGGUGGAACACCAGUGGCGAAGGCGGCUUUCUGGACGGUAACUGACGCUGGAGAACGCGAAAAGCGUUGGGGAGCAAACAGG
rnacentral:rRNA from 1 species